rnacentral:rRNA from 1 species
AUGUCCACCACCGCCGCCGUGAGGUGCGCCUUCGCGGCGCCUGCCCGUGGAGCAGCACCUACCGUUACUGCCCCCACGGCCUGCCGCACCUCCACCAUGCACAGCUGCUUGACCACGGUCUCCACCCCGGCCUGCUCGCCACUCCAACCUUAUCUCCUCACACGCGCUCAGGGACGCGCUGAUCGACCCAUGCUACAGGAACGGGUCGGGUUCUUGGACGCCAGCAAGGUGUUCGAGGAAAUGCCGAGACGGGACAUCGUGUCCUGGAGCACGGCCAUGGCUGCGAUGGUGCGACAGGGGGAGGUGGCCAAUGCGAGGUGGAUGUCUGAAGAGAUGCCAGAGAAGGAGGCGGUAAGCUGGGACAUCUAUGCUGAGGCUGGGCAGUGA